UGGGGUGAAGCUCAGUGGCAGAGCACUUGCCUGGCAUAUGGGAAGCCCUGGGUUUGAUUCCAAGCACUACAA
rnacentral:tRNA from 1 species